GAUCUGUAUUUUGCCCCCAUUGGUUUGUGCCUCAAUUCCAGAGAAGAUCUACUGUCACGGAGAAUUAACUUGAUACCAAUCUGAUUAACCAUCUUUCCCUGGUGUCCUGCUGGGAUCCUGCAGAUCCCGGUUCAGACUUGCUGGACUGUCAGGCUAUAUCUGAGCAUUACAGAUCACCCUUUUCUGUGGAAGAUCCUGCUUCCUGGCAGCAGAUGGGACCUUCACAAUGUACUCAUUGUUCAGCUGGAAACCCCGUGAAGCUGUAACCUGAACCCCUUGUCCUGAGGCCACUGGAUGGCCGUCUCCAUGCAAUGGUGUCUGUGAACCCCAG